ensembl:lncRNA
GUAUCGUAGUGGUAUAUGGUAGUGGUAUAUGGUAGUGGUAUAUGGUAGUGGUAUAUGGUAUAUGGUAGUGGUGUAUAGUAGUGGUAUAUGGUAUAUGGUAGUGGUAUAUGGUAUAUGGUAGUGGUGUAUGGUAGUGAUAUAUGGUAUAUGGUAGUGGUGUAUAGUAGUGGUAUAUGGUAGUGGUGUAUCGUAGUGGUAUAUGGUAGUGGUAUAUGGUAGUGGUAUAUGGUAUAUGUGGUUGGUGUAUGGUAGUGGUAUAUGGUAGUGGUAUAUGGUAGUGGUGUAUGGUAUAUGGUAGUGGUGUAUAGUAGUGGUAUAUGGUAGUGGUAUAUGGUAGUGGUGUAUAGUAGUGGUAUAUGGUAGUGGUGUAUCAUAGUGGUAUAUGGUAGUGGUAUAUGGUAGUGGUAUAUGGUAGGGGGAGAUAGUAGUUGUAUAUGGUAGUGGUAUAUGGUAGUAGUGUAUAGUAGUGGUAUAUGGUAGUGGUAUAUGGUAGUGGUGUAUAGUAGUGGUAUAUGGUAGUGGUGUAUAGUAGUGGUGUAUGGUAGUGGUAUAUGGUAGUGGUGUAUCGUAGUGGUAUGUGGUAGUGGUAUAUGGUAGUGGUAUAUGGUAGUGGUAUAUGGUAUAUGGUAGUGGUAUAUAGUACAUGGUAGUGGAGUAUAGUAGUGGUAUGUGGUAGUGGUGUAUGGUAGUGGUAUAUGGUAGUGGUGCAUAGUAGUGGUAUAUGGUAGUGGUGUAUCGUAGUGGUAUAUGCUAGUGGUAUAUGGUAUAUGGUUGUGGUGUAUAGUAGUGGUAUGUGGUAGUGGUAUAUGGUAGUGGUAUAUGGUAUAUGGUAGUCGAGUAUAGUAGUGGUAUAUUGUAGUGGUGUAUGGUAGUGGUAUAGUGUAGUGGUGUAUAGUAGUGGUAUAUGGUAGUGGUAUAUGGUAGUGGUGUAUGGUAGUUGUAUAUGGUAGUGGUGUAUGGUUGUGGUAUAUAGUAGUGGUAUAUGGUAAUAUGGUAGUGGUAUAUGGCAGUGUUAUUAUGUAGUGGUAUAGGUUAGUGGUGUAUUGUAGUGGUGUAUUGUUGUAUGGUCAGGGUAUGUGGUAGUGGUAUAUGUUAGUGGUAUGUUGUAGUGGUAUAUGUUAGUGGUAUAUUGUAGUGGUCUAUGGUGGUGGUAUAUUGUAGUUGUUUAUGGUGGUGGUAUAUGGUGGUGGUAUAUGGUAGUGGUAUAUGGUAGUGGUAUAUGGUAGUGGUAUAUUGUAGUUGUUUAUGGUGGUGGUAUAUGGUAGUGGUAUAUGGUAGUGGUAUAUUGUAGUGGUAUAUGUUAGCCGGUGGUAUAUGGCAGUGGUAUAUUUUAGUGGAACACUAGGUGGGCCAUGAACAGGCUGUAAAGAUCACUAGUGGGCCAUCGACAGGCUGUAAAGAACACUAGGUGGGCCAUGGACAGGCUGUAAAGAACACUAGGUGGGCCAUGGACAGGCUGUAAAGAACACUAGGUGGGCCAUGGACAGGCUGUAAAGAACACUAGGUGGGCCAUGGACAGGCUGUAAAGAACACUAGUGGGCCAUGGACAGGUUGUUAAAAAUACGGUGACUGAAGUUCCUCUGAUAUGAUAAACAUACACACAUGUAAACACAUAUACACACAUCAGGUUUAGGCUCAGAGUCAAGGUUGAUUGGAUUGCAAACUUUAUCGACCUGAAGGACACACACACACAGAC